UUUCAUGAUUGAGAUCAUAUAUUAGCCCCACAUCCACCUGCCCUUCAUAUUCUCACACCUCCCUGUGGGAUGGCAUCUCCGUGUGGCUGCAGCGGAGCACGGGGAGCAAAGCAGGACGAGCACCGAGAGAGGGAACCCCCACGUGGGCAACAUUUUCCUACACUAACCUCCAACAGCAGCACAGCAAAGCCAACAGAUGGUUAUCUUCCACAGCAGAGGUACCGGCAGAAGCCAUGGAUUUGCCCAGUGUCUCUUACUGCUGUGGACAUUAAGUGUUUCAUGUAAUAACCUUUACAUAACGGAAAUAUCUCAUGACAGAGCAAAUCACAUAAUUCUGAGAAGAUGGGCCCAUUACAGUACCAAAUUACAUAUGCCAUCAAGACAUCUCAGCAGUCACUGUGUUCUACCUCCUAGGUCCACCCAGAUGCAAAAAUAUUUGUGAACGUUACCCCUCCCCCACUUCUGUGAAGGGCUCUUUGAUUUUACCUGCACAAUAAACGGAUAA